rnacentral:rRNA from 2 species
ACACGACUCUCGGCAAUGGAUAUCUCGGCUCUCGCAUCGAUGAAGAGCGCAGCGAAAUGCGAUAUGUGGUGCGAAUUGCAGAAUCCCGCGAACCAUCGAGUCUUUGAACGCAAGUUGCGCCUGAGGCCAAUCGGUUGAGGGCACGUCCGCCUGGGCGUCAAGC